rnacentral:rRNA from 1 species
CAGGCCUAACACAUGCAAGUCGAGCGCGCCUUCGGGUGAGCGGCGGACGGGUUAGUAACGCGUGGGAACGUGCCCUUCUCUACGGAGUAGCCUCUGGAAACGGAGAGUAAUACCGUAUACGCCCUUUGGGGGAAAGAUUUAUCGGAGAAGGAUCGGCUCGCGUUAGAUUAGGUAGUUGGUGGGGUAACGGCCUACCAAGCCUACGAUCUAUAGCUGGUUUUAGAGGAUGAUCAGCAACACUGGGACUGAGACACGGCCCAGACUCCUACGGGAGGCAGCAGUGGGGAAUCUUAGACAAUGGGGGCAACCCUGAUCUAGCCAUGCCGCGUGAGUGAUGAAGGCCUUAGGGUCGUAAAGCUCUUUCGCCUGUGAUGAUAAUGACAGUAGCAGGUAAAGAAACCCCGGCUAACUCCGUGCCAGCAGCCGCGGUAAUACGGAGGGGGUUAGCGUUGUUCGGAAUUACUGGGCGUAAAGCGCACGUAGGCGGAUUAGAAAGUUAGAGGUGAAAUCCCGGGGCUCAACCCCGGAACUGCCUUUAAAACUACUAGUCUAGAGUUCGAGAGAGGUGAGUGGAAUUCCGAGUGUAGAGGUGAAAUUCGUAGAUAUUCGGAGGAACACCGGUGGCGAAGGCGGCUCACUGGCUCGAUAC